rnacentral:rRNA from 1 species
UACGGAGGGUGCGAGCGUUGUCCGGAAUCACGUGGCGUAAAGGGCGCGUAGGCGGCCUGAUAAGUAGGGGGUGAAAUCCUGCGGCUUAACCGCAGGGCUGCCUUCUAAACUGUCAGGCUUGAGCACAGUAGAGGCAGGUGGAAUUCCCGGUGUAGCGGUGGAAUGCGUAGAGAUCGGGAAGAACAUCAGUGGCGAAGGCGGCCUGCUGGGCUGUUGCUGACGCUGAGGCGCGACAGCGUGGGGAGCAAACAGG